GACGAACGCUGGCGGCGUGCUUAACACAUGCAAGUCGAACGGUGAAGCGCCUUCCUUUUUGGUGGGUGUGGAUGAGUGGCGAACGGGUGAGUAACACGUGAGUAACCUGCCCCCUUCUUCUGGAUAACCGCAUGAAAGUGUGGCUAAUACGGGAUAUUCUGGGUCUGUCGCAUGAUGGGUCUGGGAAAGAUAUUGUUUCGGUGGGGGAUGGGCUCGCGGCCUAUCAGCUUGUUGGUGGGGUGAUGGCCUACCAAGGCGGUGACGGGUAGCCGGCCUGAGAGGGUGGACGGUCACACUGGGACUGAGACACGGCCCAGACUCCUACGGGAGGCAGCAGUGGGGAAUAUUGCACAAUGGGCGCAAGCCUGAUGCAGCGACGCCGCGUGAGGGAUGGAGGCCUUCAGGUUGCGAACCUCUUUCGCCAGUGAAGCAGGCCUGCCUCGUUUGUGGGUGGGUUGACGGUAGCUGGAGAAGAAGCGCCGGCUAACUACGUG
rnacentral:rRNA from 1 species